rnacentral:rRNA from 1 species
CCCUUAGAUGUUCUGGGCCGCACGCGCGCUACACUGAUGCAUUCAACGAGUUUUUCCUGGUCCGAGAGGAAUGGGUAACCUUUUGAAAGUGCAUCGUGCUAGGGAUAGACUAUUGCAAUUAUUGGUCUUCAACGAGGAAUUCCUAGUAGACGUAGUUCAUCAGACUGCAUCGAUUACGUCCCUGCCCUUUGUACACACCGCCCGUCGCUCCUACUGAUUGGGUGAUCCGGUGAGCUGUUCGGCCAUAGCAAUGUUUCUUGAGCAGGGCAAUGAAUGUUUCGCAAACCUUGCCACUUAGAGGAAGGAGAAGUCGUAACA